rnacentral:rRNA from 1 species
GUUUGAUCCUGGCUCAGGAUGAACGCUAGCUACAGGCUUAACACAUGCAAGUCGAGGGGAAACGACAUCGAAAGCUUGCUUUUGAUGGGCGUCGACCGGCGCACGGGUGAGUAACGCGUAUCCAACCUGCCCAUCACUUGGGAAUAACCUUGCGAAAGUAAGACUAAUACCCAAUGACAUCCCACGAAGGCAUCCGAAUGGGAUUAAAGAUUUAUCGGUGAUGGAUGGGGAUGCGUCUGAUUAGCUUGUUGGCGGGGUAACGGCCCACCAAGGCAACGAUCAGUAGGGGUUCUGAGAGGAAGGUCCCCCACAUUGGAACUGAGACACGGUCCAAACUCCUACGGGAGGCAGCAGUGAGGAAUAUUGGUCAAUGGGCGAGAGCCUGAACCAGCCAAGUAGCGUGCAGGAUGACGGCCCUAUGGGUUGUAAACUGCUUUUAUAAGGGAAUAAAGUGAGUCUCGUGAGACUUUUUGCAUGUACCUUAUGAAUAAGGACCGGCUAAUUCCGUGCCAGCAGCCGCGGUAAUACGGAAGGUCCGGGCGUUAUCCGGAUUUAUUGGGUUUAAAGGGAGCGUAGGCCGGAGAUUAAGCGUGUUGUGAAAUGUAGAGGCUCAACCUCUGCACUGCAGCGCGAACUGGUCUUCUUGAGUACGCACAACGUGGGCGGAAUUCGUGGUGUAGCGGUGAAAUGCUUAGAUAUCACGAAGAACUCCGAUUGCGAAGGCAGCUCACGGGAGCGCAACUGACGCUGAAGCUCGAAAGUGCGGGUAUCGAACAGGAUUAGAUACCCUGGUAGUCCGCACGGUAAACGAUGGAUGCCCGCUGUUGGCCUGAAUAGGUCAGCGGCCAAGCGAAAGCAUUAAGCAUCCCACCUGGGGAGUACGCCGGCAACGGUGAAACUCAAAGGAAUUGACGG